UCGGGCCGGGCAAUCUGUCCAUAAAUGGAGAAGUCAGCUCGGGCCUGACCAAUCAGGGUUUGUUUUCACAGCGUCACUCCUCGGGGAAACCGUGGCAGCCAACGGGCUUGGAGCUGCUGGAGUUUCCAAAGCCCUCUGGAUGCUGUAGUCCUGCCCGCGAGCCUGCGGCGAGCGCCGCGGAGCCGGCUGCCCCCCCCCCCCCCCGGGGCGACACCUCCGCUGGUGGGGGCAGAAGCCCUCCUUGAGGGAGAGGUAACCCCCCGCCCCCCCAUUCGCGCGCUCUCUCUCUCUCUCUCUCUAACGCGAAUAUUACCGUAGGUGUGGCUCCCAAGCUCAAGUCGUAUGAUUUUCCCAUAACUUUUUUUUUUUUAAGAAGGAAAUAUUUUAUCAGCAUAAAAGAUCAGAGUCGUGGCAGCGGCCCAAAGGAAAUCCUUUUUCUUUCCAACGUCUGGAUUGUGAGGAAAGUCAAAAAUAUCAUUUCCCCUACCCCUCCUUUUACCUGAAUUUCCUUGGAAAACAAAGAAAGGCUCCCCCCCCCCCCCUUUUUGGACUUUUGAGUGGUGGAGAGGUUGCACCGCGGUGAGCAGAGACACAAGGGAAAGAGAAGUGGGAAGAAAGCACCAUCCAACCUCAGUCAACCCUAUCUGUUGAGAUCGGUCAGCAGUACAAUGGGGACUCCACACCCAAUGUGGAGCCCAGCAUGGAACUUGAACUCACAACCCUGAGAUCAACACCUGAGCUGAGAUCAAGAGUCGAAUGCUUAACCAACUGAGCCACCCAAGCACCCCUAAAUGCUUACUUUUAUUUGCCCUAAUAAACUCUAGUUUCAAAAGGUAA